UUGCUUUCUUUUGCUGGCGACCGGCGCACGGGUGAGUAACACGUAUCCAACCUGCCCUUUACUCGGGGAUAGCCUUUCGAAAGAAAGAUUAAUACCCGAUAGUAUAAUGAUUCCGCAUGGUUUCAUUAUUAAAGGAUUCCGGUAAAGGAUGGGGAUGCGUUCCAUUAGGUUGUUGGUGAGGUAACGGCUCACCAAGCCUUCGAUGGAUAGGGGUUCUGAGAGGAAGGUCCCCCACAUUGGAACUGAGACACGGUCCAA
rnacentral:rRNA from 1 species